UGUCUCGACACUACUAGACUACAAUACUAUUUUCAACUUUCAGUUCAUUAUUUACGACAAUGGAAUAGAAUAAUGCUGAAAUAAUAGAUAAUCGGCACAACUAUGUUUGAUAAUAUUAUCUGAUCAGAAAAUCGAAAGGAAGUUUAUUGUGGUAGAAGUGCCGGUUUUGAUAUAUUACGUUUCUCUUAUUUUAUUUGGCUUUCAAUAUCUAUACACAUUUAGAGAUUUUAGUAUCUUUUUGGUACACGGUAAGAUCGAAUGUAUGUAUAACAACCUAAUGGCCCUUUGCUUUGGAUUAGGAGUAGUGUAUGGUUGACAGUAACAAGGGCGAAUCGCAGCAUAUGAAGCGAGAUAUAUGUACGUGGAGUUUUGAAACCUUUUGAUUAAAACCUAUUUAAAUCGCCUACGCUAUGAAAAAAGUCUAUAAAGGAAAGAGGUGUCUGUGAGUUCUUCUUCAUUAUUGGAGUUCUAGGUUAACAGUAAUGUAUGUGAAAUCUGCUUGGAGAAUUGUAUUACACCAGCUCUGAUUGCAAACAAGAAUACACCACCAAAAACCACAAUUUAUUUUUUGCUAUUGGCUGCAUAUGAAUUUGAAAUUAAACGUGAAUUUGUUAAUUUUCCAACCCUGCACUUCAUGCAGGAUAUCGAUAUUUAUGUUGUUAACAUACAUGUGUAUGUACACUACGUGUAGAGAAAAUCAAUAAAGGGGUUUUCCGUUGAUAAAUCAUUUACCAAUUGACGCUUCUGAUUACAACAUUGUGCAUGUACUAUUAGACAAAUCAUUUAAAGUGAAACCCAGUCUUAUCACGGUGAAGCGCUUCGCUAACAAAAUGCAGUUAAUAUAAA